rnacentral:rRNA from 1 species
AGAGUUUGAUCCUGGCUCAGGAUGAACGCUAGCGGGAGGCUUAACACAUGCAAGUCGAGGGGCAGCACGAGGUAGCAAUACUUUGGUGGCGACCGGCAGACGGGUGAGUAACGCGUAUGUAACCUGCCCUGUACAGGGGGAUAACCCGGAGAAAUUCGGACUAAUAUCCCAUGGUAAUAUUGGAAGGCAUCUUUUAAUAUUUAAAGUUCCGGCGGUACAGGAGGGGCAUGCGUAACAUUAGCUGGUUGGUAAGGUAACGGCUUACCAAGGCGAUGAUGUUUAGGGGUCCUGAGAGGGUGAUCCCCCACACUGGUACUGAGACACGGACCAGACUCCUACGGGAGGCAGCAGUGAGGAAUAUUGGUCAAUGGGCGCAAGCCUGAACCAGCCAUCCCGCGUGCAGGAAGACGGCCCUAUGGGUUGUAAACUGCUUUUCCAGGGAGAGAAACUUACGUACGCGUUACGUAACUGACGGUACCCUGGGAAUAAGCAUCGGCUAACUCCGUGCCAGCAGCCGCGGUAAUACGGAGGAUGCAAGCGUUAUCCGGAUUCAUUGGGUUUAAAGGGUGCGUAGGCGGACUAUUAAGUCAGUGGUGAAAUCCUGCAGCUCAACUGUAGAACUGCCGUUGAUACUGAUAGUCUUGAGUUUGGUUAAGGUAGGCGGAAUGUGUAAUGUAGCGGUGAAAUGCUUAGAUAUUACACAGAACACCGAUUGCGUAGGCAGCUUACUGAGCCGACACUGACGCUGAGGCACGAAAGCGUGGGGAUCGAACAGGAUUAGAUACCCUGGUAGUCCACGCCGUAAACGAUGAUUACUCGCUGUUGGCGAUACACUGUCAGCGGCUAAGCAAAAGCAAUAAGUAAUCCACCUGGGGAGUACGGCCGCAAGGCUGAAACUCAAAGGAAUUGACGGGGGCCCGCACAAGCGGAGGAACAUGUGGUUUAAUUCGAUGAUACGCGAGGAACCUUACCUGGGCUUAAAUGUAGAGUGCAUUUUUUAGAGAUAGAAAUUCCCUUCGGGGCUUUCUGCAAGGUGCUGCAUGGUUGUCGUCAGCUCGUGCCGUGAGGUGUCGGGUUAAGUCCCAUAACGAGCGCAACCCUUAUCGUUAGUUGCCA